AUGAAUCUGUUAAGUUGGAACUGCCGGGGUGGGGGGAAUCCCCGGAUAGUUCGUGAUGUGGCGACGUUGGUGCAGUCGCAUUCCCCCAUGUUUGUGUUUUUGUGUGAAACUCGACAAAAAGCUAGUAAGAUGAGAAGAAUUAGAGGGCGUCUCGGCCUUUACGGCUUUGUGGGUGUGGAUAGUAAUGGUUUAAGCGGUGGCCUAGCAUUGUUUUGGCACGAA
rnacentral:rRNA from 1 species